AGUUAUAUAUUUUGUAUAUCUGUAUAUAUAUAUAUUUAUACUUCAUUGCUGUUUUGCACUUCUGGUUAGAUGCUAACUGUAUUUCAUUGCCUGUGUUCAUGUGCAAUGACCAUAAAGUUGAAUCUAAUCUAAUUUAAUUAGUCUAAAGAGAAUGGGA